UACGUAGGUGGCAAGCGUUGUCCGGAAUUAUUGGGCGUAAAGCGCUCGCAGGCGGUCUUUUAAGUCUGAUGUGAAAGCCCACGGCUCAACCGUGGAGGGUCAUUGGAAACUGGAGGACUUGAGUACAGAAGAGGAGAGUGGAAUUCCACGUGUAGCGGUGAAAUGCGUAGAGAUGUGGAGGAACACCGGUGGCGAAGGCGGUUCUCUGGGCAUUACCUGACGCUGAGGAGCGAAAGUGUGGGGAGCGAACAGG
rnacentral:rRNA from 1 species